rnacentral:rRNA from 1 species
GACGAACGCUGGCGGCGUGCUUAACACAUGCAAGUCGGACGAAGAGCGAUGGAAGCUUGCUUCUAUCACUCUUAGUGGCGAACGGGUGAGUAACGCGUAAUCAACCUGCCCUUCAGAGGGGGACAACAGUUGGAAACGACUGCUAAUACCGCAUACGAUCUAAUCUCGGCAUCGAGGAUAGAUGAAAGGUGGCCUCUACAUGUAAGCUAUCACUGAAGGAGGGGAUUGCGUCUGAUUAGCUAGUUGGAGGGGUAACGGCCCACCAAGGCGAUGAUCAGUAGCCGGUCUGAGAGGAUGAACGGCCACAUUGGGACUGAGACACGGCCCAGACUCCUACGGGAGGCAGCAGUGGGGAAUCUUCCGCAAUGGACGAAAGUCUGACGGAGCAACGCCGCGUGAGUGAUGACGGCCUUCGGGUUGUAAAGCUCUGUUAAUCGGGACGAAAGGCCUUCUUGCGAAUAGUGAGAAGGAUUGACGGUACCGGAAUAGAAAGCCACGGCUAACUACGUG